CCCUAUGGGCGGGCCUUGGCGAGGGUGCGUUCGCGCACGCCGGUUUCCAAAGACGCCGGUCUUCCAACCUUGCCUUGUGCCCGCCCACCCCA
rfam:Achromobacter piechaudii HLE Contig_26, whole genome shotgun sequence.